AUUUCGCGUGAGGGAUUGCAGCGGAAAUCCUUUGUGGAACGAAGUGGAGCAAAGAUUGCAGCGGAAUGCCCGACCAAGU
rnacentral:ncRNA from 2 species